rnacentral:rRNA from 2 species
UGGGGAAUAUUGCACAAUGGGCGCAAGCCUGAUGCAGCCAUGCCGCGUGUAUGAAGAAGGCCUUCGGGUUGUAAAGUACUUUCAGCGGGGAGGAAGGGAGUAAAGUUAAUACCUUUGCUCAUUGACGUUACCCGCAGAAGAAGCACCGGCUAACUCCGUGCCAGCAGCCGCGGUAAUACGGAGGGUGCAAGCGUUAAUCGGAAUUACUGGGCGUAAAGCGCACGCAGGCGGUUUGUUAAGUCAGAUGUGAAAUACCCGGGCUCAACCUGGGAACUGCAUCUGAUACUGGCAAGCUUGAGUCUCGUAGAGGGGGGUAGAAUUCCAGGUGUAGCGGUGAAAUGCGUAGAGAUCUGGAGGAAUACCGGUGGCGAAGGCGGCCCCCUGGACGAAGACUGACGCUCAGGUGCGAAAGCGUGGGGAGCAAACAGG